UACGUAGGGGGCAAGCGUUGUCCGGAAUUAUUGGGCGUAAAGAGCGUGUAGGCGGCCCGGUAAGUCCGCUGUGAAAGUCCAGGGCUCAACCCUGGGAUGCCGGUGGAUACUGUCGGGCUCGAGUCCGGAAGAGGAGUGUGGAAUUCCUGGUGUAGCGGUGAAAUGCGCAGAUAUCAGGAGGAACACCAAUGGCGAAGGCAGCACUCUGGGACGUGACUGACGCUGAGACGCGAAAGCGUGGGGAGCAAACAAG
rnacentral:rRNA from 1 species